UACGGGGGGGGCAAGCGUUGUUCGGAAUUACUGGGCGUAAAGCGUGCGUAGACGGUUAUGUAAGUCGGGUGUGAAAGCCCCGGGCUCAACCUGGGAAUUGCAUUCGAGACUGUGUAGCUAGGGUACGGAAGAGGGAAGCGGAAUUUCAGGUGUAGCGGUGAAAUGCGUAGAUAUCUGAAGGAACACCAGUGGCGAAAGCGGCUUCCUGGUCCAGUACCGACGUUCAGGCACGAAAGCGUGGGGAGCAAACAGG
rnacentral:rRNA from 1 species